CUGCUCCCACUCCGCCCGAGACUGAGCGGCGGCUGGUAAUGGCAGUUCAUAGUCUCCGUGGAGCCGUCGCAACACAGUUAGCAAAGCACUUGCACCUUCCUUUAGACCCGGGCUGCAAGGCGCGCGCGCGGCGCCCUCACUACUGACCGCAUUCCCACGAAGCAAUUGCAUUCGCUCCCACCGUGUCAAUUUUCAUCCCUGUCCCGAGAGCCAAAUCGAAUUUCAUUCAUUUUAUUCCAUCUCCGCUCCACUUUUCAGCUGUGUAACCUUAGGAAAGUUCCUGAGCGUCAACUGUUGAGUCUCUGAGCUUCAGUGUUCUCCAUUUCUUCAUUUCUGUAAAGUGAACAUGAGAGAGAGAAUACCAAGUAGACUCCUUGCUGAGCCCAUCAAGGGGCUGGAUCCUAGAACCAUGAGAUCAUGGCCUGAGCAGAAACCACGAGUUGGGCACUCCACCAAGAGUGGAUGCUCUACUGACUGCCCUACCACCAGUCAUCCAGAAUGGGAAAAGGCUACAUGAUUCCCAGGGGACACAGCCGCAAAACAGGUGAUUUGGAUCUGAAGAAAAUCAAAGUGAAAAGCUCUCACCACUAAAAACAAGCAAAUGAAAGAAUCGAAAAUUCUGGCCAAAAAGUGUCACAUAUGUGGACAUGUUGCCUUAAGGAUUUGGAUGCAGUAGAAAACGAUAAGAUAUAGUGUUUUAUUUAUUUUGCAAAGGUAAUAAAUAUAUUUCUUCUUAAUUCUAAUAUGAGCAAAGAACUCUCUUUUUCAUCUUCAUUAGUCAUCGUUUUAAUCUUUAUAUAAGAAUGGUUAAAAGUGCAAUCCCUGAAAUCAGAUCCCUGUUAUGAAUAAGUUACUUGACCUCUUUGAGCUGCAGAUUCCUCUUAAUAAUAUCCUUCGUAUGUUGUUGAGAGGAUUGAAUGAAAUAAAGCAAGGCAUAUAACACGGGUUCUAACCACAUAGCAUACAGUACUGUUUUUAUUAUCCCUGCUACAUAAACAUUAGCAGAAUAUUUGACACCUGGUAGGAUCUCACCAACUAUGGAUCUCACCAACUAGGAUCUCAUAACAACUAUGAUGUUGAUGUUGAUGACAGUGGUGUCGUGCAGGGGGUGGGGGGGCAGGUCAUGAUAACAAGAACUAACAUUUAUCUAGCACUUACCAUGCAUCAAAUACUGUUCUUCGUGAUUUUGUGUAUAGUGAUUCAUUAAUCUUCCCAACAACACUGUGGAGAAGGUAAUAUUGUUUUUUCUUUUCUAAGAUUUUAUUUAUUUAUUUGCAAGAGAGAGAGAG